GAUCCUACGGGAGGCAGCAGUGAGGAAUAUUGGUCAAUGGGCGGAAGCCUGAACCAGCCAAGUCGCGUGAGGGAAGAAGGCCCUGCGGGUCGCAGACCUCUUUGGACGGGGAGCAAGGCCGCCGACGUGUCGGCGGAAGGAGAGUACCCGUAGAACAAGCAUCGGCUAACUCCGUGCCAGCAGCCGCGGUAAUACGGAGGAUGCGAGCGUUAUCCGGAUUUAUUGGGCGUAAAGCGAGCGCAGGCGGUUGGAUAAGUCUGAAGUUAAAGGCUGUGGCU
rnacentral:rRNA from 1 species